GUUGUUGUUGUUAUUAUUAUUAUGAUAAAAUUUCUUCUUAGGGAAAAACCUCCUGGCCUUUAAGCGAUUUUGUUGUUGUAAAUCAUUUAACGUAGGUGGCUUAUACCCGCCUUGAUUUCCAACAAUUCCUCCGGCAAUACUACUACCACUACCGCUAGUUCCAAUCUCGUUCCUCCUAACUCCAUCCAUUCUCUUAUCCUUCUUAUUUACCUUUUUACCCUUCCAAUUGUUUCUAGGACCCAAGGGUUUGGGAUGCUUUCCAGGAACAAAUUGCUUCAAAUUAUGAUUAUUAGGGUUUUGAAAUUUGAGUUGAUCCACCAUAGACGGCGGUGGCAUAGGCGGCUGCGGCCACAUCCUAUAGCUCCGAUUCAUCAUCUGAGGCUGCUGCUGCUGUGGUUGUUGUUGAAGCUGUGGAUUCAAGAUCUGAGGUUGACUCAUACUUAUCAUUUGGUUUUGACCCAUACUCAUCCUCUGUUGUUGGUUCAUCAUUUUUACUUGCUCAUUCAUUUCUCCAAAAACCACCAAAAACCCCUAAAUUCAGUUUAAUCUUUUGAUGAUUUUUUCUUCCUUUUAUUCGAUUAUUCGAUUCUUCUUCUUUAAAUUUCGAUCGGUAUUUUUUUCGUGAUCUUUG
rnacentral:misc_RNA from 1 species